AUACCGAACACAGAAGUUAAGCUCUCCAGUGCAGAAGAUACUUGGCCGGAGACGGCCCGGGAAAAUAUGUCGCCGCCAGAU
rnacentral:rRNA from 1 species